rnacentral:lncRNA from 1 species
GGGCGAGAGACAGAAGGCGAGGGUGGAGGGUGGAAGAAGAGAAGGUGGGGAGGGGAGUGGGCAUGGGCGAAGGGUAUAGGGGACGCGGGGGCUAAAGAAAGGCGAAAGCGGGGAGAGGUGGUGAUGGAGAUGAGAGGAGAGAAGCGCAAGGUAACGGGAGGUGAAGGGGAGCACGAGAAUGGAGAUGACGUGGGUAAGAGAGGAGAUGAGGAAAGGAAGGGGAACGAGAGGAUUGGCAAAAAAGAACGGUGACAAGGAGAGAUGAUAAAGGGGCAGGAGGAGAAGGCGAGUAGGAAAGAAAAGAGGUGAGGGAGCGAGGACUGGAAGCUGGUGAAUGAAUGAGAAGUGAUCGGGAGUAAGGGGCGUCAGGAGGAAGGAGGAAGGGCGAUGAGAAGGCGGCGGCGGAGGGGAAGGGGGGAGGCCCGGCGCGGCGGCUCACGCCUCUAAUCCCAGCGCUUCCGGAGGCCAAGGCGGGAGCAUCGCUUGAGCCCAGGAGUUCGAGACCAGCCUGGGCAACAUAGGGAGACCCUUUCUCUACAAAAUAAAAAGUAAAACAGCCGGGCCUGGUGGCGCUGCUUGUGGUCCCAGCUACUGGGGAGGCUGAGGUGGGAGGAUCGCUUGAGCCUCGGAGGUUGAGGCCGCAGUGAGCUGUGAUGGCACCACUGCACUCCAGCCUGGGCCACAGAAGGAGACCCUGUCUCAAAAAACAAACAAACAAAAAGGAGGUGAGUUAGUUAUGGAGGAGAUGAGGUGGUGUGGGAAGAGGUGAGAGGGAGGCACAGAGGUAAAAGAAAAAGGAGAAAGACAGGAGGGAGAGGGGAAGUGAAAAGGAAAGAGAGGUAGAAAUGAGAGGAGGGGAAAGAGUAGGAGAAAGGGUGAAGGGAGAGGAGGUGAAAGGAAGACAGAGAGGGAGAGAGAGAAGGUGUGUUUAUGUCUAUUCUCCACAAGCAGGGUUUCACCACAGCCACUGGCAAGAUACACACAUCCAUAUGACCCUCCUGUCACAGCAGCAGUGACCUUGCAGUUCAGUGAACUUCUGUUUAUUGAGUGUCGCAGCUGUGCAUAGUAUACCAGGAAGCACUGACCUCUCUCUGUAGUUUAUCCUGUUAUAAACCUGUGAACCCUCACAGUGCAGUGAACUGGACCUGGGCUUUGGGAGUCAGGGGAAGAAACCCAGAUGGCCAGUGUCACACAGCCUGCAAAUGAGUGCUGGGGGACAGAUACUCUGGCCCCAAGGCAGCUUCCACUCCAUUCCACAAUGAUGCUAUCACAGCAACCAUUAGUGGUGUCCCCUGGGCCCCUUCCCCCAAGGGCAGCCAUGGGCUUAUGCAAAGACAGUUGUCUUCCUUGGAAACCUCAGAGGCACAGACAUCCCAGGCAGGCAUGCUCCAGUGCUCGGGUCUUAGCUCAGACGUCUCUGGGAAGCCUUCCCUGACCUGUCUCAAGUAGCCCCCUCUCUCCCUAGCUGAUGUUUUCCACAGCACUUUCUGAGCUUUUGUACGUGUUGACUAUUUGUUGUCUCACUAAAGCACGGUUGCAGAGGGGCAGGCCAUAUCCCCAGGGCCCGGUCUACAGUCACGUUGAAUAUUUCAUGGCCUUAAAUUCUGCAAGUUCCACUGCUUGUAAUGCGAUUUCGCAGUCACUCCCAGCAAGAGGUAGAGUUUGUUUCUCCACCAGCCUGAACCUAGACUAGCCUUGUGGCUGGUCUUGACCAAUAGAAUGUGACAGAAAAGAGGCUGCACAAGUCCCAGAGCAUCAACAGCCCUGGCUCACUUCUUCCUUUACUGCCUGGGAAUGCUGAAUGACACUCAGAAGCAGCCCUGGGCAGGUCAGUGGCUCAUGCCUGUAAUUCCAACACUGGGAGGCUGAAGUAGGAGGAUCACUUGAGCCCAGGAGUUCGAGACCAGCCUGGGCAACAUAUCAAGACCCUGAUGCUACAAAAAAUUUAAAAAAUUAUCCAGGAAUAGUGAUGCCUGCCUGUAGUCCCAGCUACUUGGAGGGCUGAGGUGGGAAGAUUGCUUGAGCCCAGGAGGUGGAGGCUGUAGUGAGCCGUGACUGCCCCUCUGCCCUCCAGCCUGGGAGACAGAGCAAGACUCUGUCUCAAACAACAACAACAAUAAUAACAACAAAAUGGUAGCAGCCCCAGAAGAAAGAGCACGUGGAUAGGGAGCCCAGUCAUUGCAGCUCUCCCAGCCGACCCACCAGCUGAAUACAGCAGCAC